rnacentral:rRNA from 1 species
GGACUACCGGGGUAUCUAAUCCUGUUUGCUACCCACGCUUUCGUGUCUCAGUGUCAGUAAUGGUCCAGAAAGCCGUCUACACCGCAGGUGUUCCUCCUGAUAUCUACGCAUUUCACCGCUACACCAGGAAUUCCACUUUCCCAUCCCAUACUCUAGCCUUCCAGUCUUCGACGCACCCUCCCGGUUGAGCCGGGAGAUUUCACAUCAAACUUAGAAAGCCACCUACACACCCUUUACGCCCAGUAACUCCGAACAACGCUUGCUGCCUACGUAUUACCGCGGCUGCUGGCAC